AAAACUUAUCCCCAUCUCUCUUGUGAGCGUCCUCUUCGUCUCCUCUAUCUUUCAAGUCCUUCGUCUCCUUGGUUGAUUCAUAUGUAGUCAUGCGCGGCUUGCCAUCCCCCGCAUCGCACGACCUCACGAGUGCCGUCUCUCACUACUCUCGAACCCUGCCAUCUCUGAAAUUCAUCAUCAAUGCCACUGAUUUCAGAUCUGAAUGAAUGCGGCUCAGCUCGGGGCUGCCUAGAGAGGACAACACCGAGGAGCCUCACCGCCAAAGCAGCUUGCAGCCUGACUAUGGAGAUCUAGCCUUGCGCUGUGAGAUUUUAGGAUUUAUUUCGGUUUUCCCUUUGACUUUGUUAAACACGCGUGGAUUUCUACAGCUGGUCUUCCAAAAUGACCAUGGGGAUUAAUCUCGACGGGUCAGAUCUUGCACAGGGAUCUCAUUUGACCAAAUUAAAUCCCCGCCGGUGUUUAGUUUCCAGGGAAAUUCUGUCCGUGCACCCAAACAAAGCCUGAGGAUCGGCCGGGAUUGGGGCUCGAUUCCGGGCACCCAUGGAAUGAAAUCCCCGCGUGGAACGAAAUCACUGUCUCGCAGAAAAGUGCAUUUGGACACGACGGGGGAGGGAAAAUUAUCGGCCUAAACCCCACCGUUCCACGGGGGAAACCAACAUCACCUGCCCAGGUCGGGAUCAGGCUCGCGUCGCUUCGUCCUUGACUCGCUUCUCUGUUCUAGCCGUCGACUCCGCCGCCUCUUCCCUCUCGCCGACGGCGGCGGCUUCUCGGAUCAGGCGCCAGUUGCAGCACGGUCCGAGACUCUGGGUUAUAUUUGUGAAGGAAGGCGUGGCCGUAGUUGGUGUUGAGGCCCGAGAGACAAGGAGAAAUGACACUGCCGAGCCCUUCCACCUAUGCAGUGGCUGCUCAUCAUGGUCACAUCCUUUUUCAUUUGUUCAGUCCAGAUCAGAGUGUGAUUUUUUAGCAAGGCUUGUAUGUCCCAAUGUGAGCAGGCAGGCUACUGUGAGGUCCACCUGUUAUGCAAGAUCUAAAUGCGAUGAGUAGAGCUGUGUGGAAAUUGAUUAAUGAAUUGGUGUUAUGUUGCUAUGAUUGGAAUGCCUAGAAUUAUGUCUAUCCUGAGAUAAUUAUAUAUUUCUGUUGUAAUCUGCUUGGUAAAGAGUGUUUUUGUAAUUUCCAGGAUCUUGUUAUACAU